UGCUAUUUGUUUAAAUUUGCUUAAAUAACUUGUUAAAAUGUUUUAAUUCAUAACUAAUUAACCGUAGCUCGGUUUUAAAUAAUAUUUAUAUGUAAUUGGGGUAGAAAAAUGCCUAGUUUAACAUGGUGGCUUUAGUUUGCAUGUUUAAAAACCCUAAAAUUGUGUUUAGGACAGAACAGUACCAAACCUAAUAUAUGCAUAUGGGGAUUUGCUGGAAUUGUUGUUUGUUAUUUCCGGCCUCAUUUAAACUUGCCUAGAUAGAUAGUUUCGUUAUGCUUCACCUCUUUCCAUGCUAACAACAUUUAACCUUGUUGGGUACAUAAACGAGAGAGAACUAAAUAAGUCAUGUGGUGUUUUCUUCAAUAUGCAACUCCGUUGCAUAUUGAGCUCCACUUAAUUUGUAGGAUUGCUUGUGCACCUUGCCAUGCCAUGCCUCAUUAAACCGGGCAUGCAUCAUACUUGUUUGCACAUCGUGCCAUGCUUAUGUGAUGAUUGUUUACUAUAUUGUUUGCUUUCUUUCCGGUGUACUUCUUCUCAUUAAUCCGGUAACGUUGCAUUUGUGAGGAUACGUUGGCUACGCCCGUUUGUCUUCUUCAUGGACUCAUUCUUCUUCCUUGCGGGAUUUCAGGCAAGAUGACCAUACCCUCAAAAUCACUUCUAUCUUUGCUUGCUAGUUGCUCGCUCUAUUGCUAUGCCUAUGUUGCGAUACCUACCACUUGCUUAUCAUGCCUCCCAUAUUGUUGAACCAAGCCUCUAACCCACCUUGUCCUAGGAAAUCAUUGUUUGGCUAUGUUACCGCUUUGCUCAGCCCCCUCUUAUAGCGUUGUUAGUUGCAGGUGAAGAUUGAAGUUUGUUCCUUGUUGGAACAUGUUUACUUGUUGGGAUAUCACAAUAUCUCUUAUCUAAUUAAUGCAUCUAUAUACUUGGUAAAGGGUGGAAGGCUCGGCCUUAUGCCUGGUGUUUUGUUCCACUCUUGCCGCCCUAGUUUCUGUCAUAUCGGUGUUAUGUUCCAGGAUUUUGCGUUCCUUAUGCGGUUGGGUUAUAAUGGGAACCCCUUGAUAGUUCUCCUUGAAUAAAACUCCUCUAGCAAUGCCCAACAUUGGUUUUACCAUUCACCACCUAGCCUUUUCUUUCCCUUGGGUAGGCCUGCCCAAGGGUCAUCUUUAUUUUAACCCCCCCCCCCGGGGCCAGUGCUCCUCUGAGUGUUGGUCCGACCGAGUAGACUGUGGGGCCACCUCGGGGCAACUUGAGGAUUUUUUUACUCGUAGGAUGUCUCAUCUGAGCGUGCCCCGAGAACGAGAUAUGUGCAUCUCCUAUUGGGAUUUGUCGGCACAAUCGGGCGGUGUUGCUGGACUUGUUUUACCAUUGUCGAGGAUAUCUUGUAACCUGGAUGCCGAGCUUGAUCGGAUUGUCUUGGGAGAAGGAAUAUCCUUCGUUGACCAUGAGAGCUUGUGAUGGGCUAAGUUGGGACACCCCUGCAGGGAUUUGAACUUUUGAAAGCCGUGCCCGCGGUUAUGGGCAGAUGGGAAUUUGUUAAUGUCCGUUUGUAGAAAACCUGAAGUUGAUCUUAAUUAAAAUACAUCAACCGUGUGUGUAACCGUGAUGGUCUCUUUUCGGUGGAGUCCGGGAAGUGAACACGGUGUUGGAGUUAUGCUUGAGAUAGGUUGUUCUAGGAUCACUUCUUGAUCAUAGUUUCUCGAACGUGCUUUGCCUUCUCUUCUCGCUCUCAUUUGCGUAUGUUAGACACCAUAUAUGCUAGUCGCUUGCUGCAGCUCCACCUCAUACCUUUUACCCUUCCUAUAAGCUUAAAUAGUCUUGAUCGCGAGGGUGUGAGAUUGCUGAGUCCCUGUGACUCACAGAUACUUCCAAAACCAGUUUGCAGGUGCCGAUGUUACCGAGCAGGUGACGCAACCAAGCUCAAGGAGGUGCUCGAUGAAGAUCUUGUCCUUUGUGUGUUCCGUUUCCAGUUGAUCAGUAGUGGAGCCCAGUCGGGACGAUCGGGGAUCUGUGUAGCAUUUGGGGUAGCCUUCUUUUAUUUUGGUUAUGUAGUCGGACCUUGUGUGUAUCUGGAUGAUGUAAUGCUUUAUUCAUGUAAUUGUGUGAAGUGGCGAUUGUAAGCCAACUAUGUAUCUUUCUCCCUUAUGUA
rnacentral:lncRNA from 1 species